rnacentral:rRNA from 1 species
UGGCGGCACGCCUAACACAUGCAAGUCGUAGCGGAGAUUGAGAGCUUGCUCUCAUGAGUCAGCGGCGGACGGGUGAGUAACACGUGAGCAACCUGCCUUUCAGAGGGGGACAACAGUUGGAAACGACUGCUAAUACCGCAUAAGCCCACGGGUCGGCAUCGACCAGAGGGAAAAGGAGCAAUCCGCUUUGAGAUGGCCUCGCGUCCGAUUAGCUAGUUGGUGAGGAUAAUGGCCCACCAAGGCGACGAUCGGUAGCCGGACUGAGAGGUUGAACGGCCACAUUGGGACUGAGACACGGCCCAGACUCCUACGGGAGGCAGCAGUGGGGAAUAUUGCACAAUGGGGGAAACCCUGAUGCAGCGACGCCGCGUGGAGGAAGAAGGUCUUCGGAUUGUAAACUCCUGUUGUUGAGGAAGAUAAUGACGGUACUCAACAAGGAAGUGACGGCUAACUACGUG